UUUUUUUUGACUUGCUUGGUCAGUUCUGUGUGACUCUUUGCAACACCCAUGGACUGUGGCUUGUCAGACUCCUCUCUCCAUGGAAUUUUCCAGGCAAGAAUACUGGAGUGGGUUGCUAUUUCCUUCUCCAGGGGAUCUUCCCCACUCAGGGAACAGAACUCUAAUUUCCCGUGUCCCCUGCUUUGGCAGGUGGAUUCUUUACUACUGAGCCACCUGGGAAGCCUAUAAUAAUAAUAAGUGAAUGUUGAGUAAUUGGAAUAUUACAGGCAUGAUACCAAGUACUUUAUAUACACUACUUCAUAAUCUAAAAAGCAGUUAUUAUCGCUAUUUUGCAGAUCCAAAAAUGGAGGCACAGAGUUUGUUACCCUGAUCACCUAGCUAAAGGUGCAAGAGGAGGGGUUGAAGUCAGGUCUCCUGAAUCCAAAUCUUGGCGAUGUUUAAGCUAAGGUGUACUACAUUUUGCGAGCUAGCUGAUAUCAAAGCACAGAAUCUGAAUCAAAGAAAUUUGGAAGAAGAGAACUUUCUCAUCCAAGUGGCUGCCGGCACCCCCACCCCAGCUGAAGCGCUCCCUUGUUCUCGCCUGCUCUGCCCCAGAUUCAUGGGCCGCGCUCGGGAUCGUUGGCAGUUUCCUCUGCACUGUCCUGACAACCUCCGGCCAUGAAACUGAAAAGCUAGUUAGCGAAUCUCGCUCCUACCGGCUUUGUCCUUGCCAGGGAUUCAACAGAGAAAUGUGGAAGAGGGAGCCUCCCCACGCCUGCAGCAGGCUGAAAUGCCACCAGAAUGACAAUGGGCUGGGGUGUGGGAGGAGGGGAGCGUGUGCAGCGUGCCAGGAAUGAAUGAAUGAAUGAGAGGGAGUGAGAGAGAGCAAGAGAGAGCGAACUUGGGGCUUCAAAUUAAAAAAUUCCAGGGUCUCAACAGAGGUCCUGGUGUCUGUACUCCAAGGCUUGCUACCGAAUGCUGAGCUGGGCACUUUUCCCUAGGCGGGUGCCCUCUGGCCCUCUGCCAAGGUACAGAGCUUGGGGCUGCAGAGGGGGGAAGUAGGACUUUGGGGGCGGAAAUGGCUCCAAACUGGGGCAAGGCCUGGGAGGCCAGCCUACCCAGUCAGCUUACUGUCUGGCCAAACUCCCCCUCCCAUCCCCCUACCACCUCAAGGGUCUCCGCUGAAUUUAGACAUUAGUACUCACUCCACAUACCCUCCCCACCCCACUAGAGGAAUUUUAAGAAAUCCACAAAAACCAGAGGAAUUUUGAUUACCCUUAAUUAAGGAAAAGCUUUCCAGAAGACCACGUGAUGGGUGACUCCCUGUGACAUGGGUGUCCCGCAGCUGCAGGAGGGUGGGGCAGCCCGGUGGCUCUGUGUCCUCUGCCCUGGGCCCUGGGACUCACACAGAGCAAGGUCCUGGUGGAUGUUUGUAGGAACGGCUUCGUUCAAAGAGCUCUUGUUCCUGCCUCAUCCCCUCCCUAGACUUGGGGACUGACGUAGGGGUGUGUGGGGAAGCGGGAGAGUGAGGUGUCUGAGCAGUGGGCCUCCAGGGCCAGGCUGAGUGGGGUCUCUGACUUGAUAGCCAAGAG
rnacentral:lncRNA from 1 species